rnacentral:lncRNA from 1 species
AGCAAAAUUGAAGCCUAAGCUAGGGAGAUUAACCUACUAAGGUAAGGGGGUUAGAAUUCAUCAUAAUCACUUUUGUAAUUUUCAAUUAUUUGUAUGAUAAGUGUUUAAUUGGAUGAAUUGAUUAAUUGUUCAUAAGUGAUGAAAUUCGUGCUCUAAUUAUGAUGACAUGUUUAGAUGUAUGAAGUUAUGAAUAAUUGAAUUAUGUUAGUUGAAUUACAUGUUCAAAGUGUAUGAAAAUGGGUAUGUGUGAAAAUAUGCUCAAUUGGUGAAUUAUGCAUUGUUGUUGAUGAAUUGUGAUAUGCUUCAUGAUCAAAUGUUGUUGUUAUUGUUUAGUCAUGUUGUUGAUGAUAAUUCAUGGCUUGGGUUUGCAUAAUUCUUGGCUUGUUAUUGUGAAAUAAGUUGUUGUUGUUGGUUUGGUGAAAAUGGGUACUUAUGAGUUUUGCUCAAAUUGUUGGAUUGGGAUAUUGUGUUGUUGAAUUAUGGUUGAAUUCAUGUCUAAAUGAAGUGUUGUUGAAUUAGAUAUGUUGUUGCUGUUGAAUUAUACCAUGGGUAUUCCAUUUUAUGAAGUUGUUGUUUGUAUUGGUGAAGUUGUGCUAGAUGUUCAUGUGAAGGACCCAAAAUGAACUUUUGAUAUACAAAGUUUUUGACUGAGUUGUCAAUGUUGUUGGAUGAGUUAAACUUGGUAGAAUUUAUGUUUUUAUGUUGUGGUUGUGGUAGUCGAGUCGUUUGGGAGAAAACGGGAGUUUCGGAUGAAAAUUCAAUUGUUAACCGUUUUGGAAAAUAAGUGAUUUUGAAAUGGAAAAUGAUGUUUCAAGUGUUUUAAGUGGUGGUUAUAAGGGGUUCAAUAAUGGGUUAAGUUUUGGAAAUGAUUGGGAAGUAUUGGAGUUGGAUUAAGUGACUUAAAAGAAAAUAUUUGAGAAAAUUCGUAUUUGAAAGUUGAAUUCUGCAUAGUCUGCUACUGUCAAAAUCAUGAAGCGAUCUUACAAAUCGUGAGACAAUUUUGACAGAAACAGCAAAAUUUCUACAUAGCCUGAUGCUGUCGAAUCAUGAAGCGAUUUCGUGAAUCAUGAGGCGAUUUUGACAGCAACAUCAAAUUUUUCUGCUCAGUCUGACGCUGUCAAAAUCAUGAAGCGAUCUUACGAGUCAUGAAGCGAUUUUGGCAGCCUAGAAACCUUAAAAUUGCAAUUUUCUUCGAUCCAAUUGUUUCAAAACUUAUUCCUAAGUAUAGGGACUUUAUCCUAACCAUCUAGGGGUCUUUUUAUGAGAGAAUUAACAUUGUGUAAAGGGUCUAGUGAGUCCUUGUGUUGCCUUGUUGUGAGAAUUAUCAAUGUUGGCCGUUUGCCACUUGAUACGGCCCUUCGGAAAUGAGUCUUUUAAGUGAAAUACCUUAUGACUUUUGUGACCAGUUUUACAUAACUACUUGAAGACGUGUGAAUGGUGAAACUAUAUGUGAUAGUUGAUGUUGAAUGACAUUCGUUGAUUAUUGAUAAUCAUGUUGAUGUGUGAUAAUGAAUACUAUGAAUUAAUUGUGUAUGGCCAUGUUUUCUUGAUAAUGCAAUGUUGUGGAGAUAAUCAAUAUAAUUGGGUGUCGUCCUAUAUAUUGAGGUGAAAAUUGUGGAUUUUUGCCGAAUUGUGGAUUUUUUCCGCAUUGUCGAGUCUUGUUACAUGUCCAUGCAUCAUAGUCGUGUGGAGAUUUUAUAUGAUGUUUUAUUCAUUAUUGGGCCCCGACCUAGCAGAGAUAUUUUGAGAUCUAGUUUUGGGCUCCGGUCUUGCAGAGAUCUUUUGAGAUCUAGUUUGUGGACUUCGGUCUUGCAGAGACCCUUGGUGGUCUGGAUUAAGGUGACGACCUUGAGGAGAUUUGGUACCACAUGCAUAUAUGUGUCAAUAGGUGCAUAUCAUGAUAUGAGUCUUAUUGAUAUAUGUGAUUGGUGAUUGUGUAUGAAUAAUUGUGAAUUGAUAUUUGUUCAUGACACAUGUGAUUGAUGAUUAUUGAUGCGAGAUAUUGGGGAUUGAUGUAAGUAUUGUUAUGUGAAUAUUAUUGAUCAAGUGCAUGAUGUUUAUAUUGAAUUAUUCAUGUUAACUGUUAUUUGGAUUAUGAUGAUGUAAUAUUUACCCCCAAUGGUUUUUACCGCCUACCUGUCUGUAUGGAUGGGUAGACGUUGUGCAGGAGUAGUGCUUGGUGAGUUUUGUGCUUGGUGGAUAUCGGGAGCUUUCUCCGAUACCGGUGUUUAGUGUUUAGUCGGCUCUGAUCUAGGCUUCGUUGUGUCAGUCUAGAUUAUCUUUUGCUUGGACUUUGUUAUGUUUGGAGAUUACCCGUAUGUUGGG